rnacentral:sRNA from 1 species
UAAGUCUAAUCCAGGUACUAACCUCCAAAGAUUUCUCCAUUUGCUAGACAAGACACUAGUCUUAACAACAUCUUUUGUCGGAAGAUUCAAGAGAAUAUGACAAAGCAAAGAUUCUGGCAAAUCUCUUAGCCAAUCAACUUCGUCAUCAGAUUGUUUGGCACGGACACGUUUCUCUCCGUCUUGAUCCAUGUACCUU